GGGGGUAUGCUAGAGUGGUCAAAUAGGGCAGACUGUAAAUCUGUUGGCUAUGCCUACGGUGGUUCGAAUCCAUCUGCCCCCA
rnacentral:tRNA from 1 species